UUUUCUUUGUUUCCUUUAUCAUAUCCUUUCAUGUUUUUUAUUCUCUCUCAUCAAUUAUAACAGAAACGCAGCUCUCUCUUCUACCUCCUUCAAACCCUAGCUGCCAUACAUCUUUAUUGCAUCCCUCCGCCACACACAACUUCAUUUGACCACGAUGUUAGCACCAUCUCCCUGCUCUCUGUCCGAUCUACAUUUUUAUCCGAUUCGUUUUUCGAAACCAAUAAGUUGCUGUCGAGAAUCUUCUUGGGAUGAUCCAUUUCCGGCAAGUACUGGAUCUACGAUUCUCAUAAAAAAAAACCGUAUAAUAGAUUUGAUUAUUUCGACAUCUGAGCAAGUCAUCGGCAAUCAUCGCGCUAGAAGUCGUUUAUGUGGGUGGUUUAAAUUGUGCCAAAAGCUUCUUGGGAAUGUAAGUAAUGGCUAAAUAAUGCAAUGGAUACAAUUUUGAGUUUGGAGAGCUAGAAGAAGCAAUUGUUAUGCAAGGAUUGAAAUGAUGAAACAUAAGCAUCUAUGGUGUACGGGUUACAUCUCCGGAGCUUCGAGCCAUUGUCAAACAUGUUUCUGUUGCAUCCAUGGAGGUCGUGUUGAUGAUAAUGAAGGAUGACAUAAAGGAGAAGAUGGCACCUAUUAUUUCGGAAAAUGGAGCAGAUCUAUCUGUUUGGAGAUCAACUCCUACAUAAUCAAGGUAAUCAUACCCACCCAACAUAUCAUAUGUUGACCUUUUGUCCAAUUCUAUUGAAUGUUAUUGUAAAUUAUUUUCAAAGAAUCAAAUAAUGCAACAAAGAUGCUUCCAAAUUCCAAUUCCGUAGAGCUCUUUGUUAAACCUAAUUUACACCCUGGACAUAUUGCAUAAAAAGUAAAAGAUUCAAUUUUUCUUUCACACUUUAAUCAUCUUCCCUUUCAAAAUAAAUUUUGAACUUUUGAGAUAUUCUGAUAAUUGUAUUCUUUUGUUCUACCUUCAUGUUACUGUUGUGAUUUCUUCAAGAGUCCCAUGAGUUGAUUGUGGAAGAGAAAUGCAUAAACAACAUGAAGGAAAAACAACCAUAACUAAGCUAGCAAAGAGUAUGAAGGGUUUUAGCAUAGCAUAGAUCAUUGAGUCCCUUGCAAAGUUAAAUAAUUGCACCGAUCAACAUAGAUGAUUCCUGCUUGUAUUUUACGUCUACGUCUUUUACUUGCACACUAUUUGAUACCGUUUCAUACUUUAUAAUGAUAUGUGUUUCUGUUUGUCCUCCUCCUCAUUCGUGAAAUAUUUCCAUACCCUAUAGUUUAUAUCAGCCUAUUUUUUAUUUUUAAUUCUUUCGUUUUUUCAUUCUAAGUUCUGAUCAGUAAUAUCUACUUUCAUAUGUGCAUCAAAUUAUAAAUUACUUCUGUCAAAAAUUCAACAUGUCUAUCAAAAAAUAGCCACGGAACGCAGUGGGGGAAUGGUGGUUUUGGGAAAUUCAACAUGUCUAUCAUGUGUGGCGAUUCUCCACUGAUCAGUGUAGGUCUUGCACCCGUUGGGAUUAGCUUCAACGACAUCCAUGGUCUCCCUUAUAAUGCAGAUGCAUGAGUAUUGUGUGGUAUACAUUCUCCGGGUGGCUUUUUUGUUGUGCAAUAAUUGGUCUCCUCGUGCCUUUUAUAGUGGCUAUCUGGUUGUUAUUUUUUAAGGAUAUUUAGACUUUGAGUUCUAUUAUUGUUUAGAAUUUUGGAUGGAACCUUACUGCAUUGUGAUGAUGCCAUUGCUAUCUUAAGUUAAAUAACUCAAGAUUAUGGUUUACUAUGAUCAUGAUUUAUAACUUUUCACAA